rnacentral:rRNA from 1 species
GAUGAACGCUGGCGGCGUGCCUAAUACAUGCAAGUCGAGCGAACAGACGAGGAGCUUUCUCCUCUGACGUUAGCGGCGGACGGGUGAGUAACACGUUGAUAACCUACCUAUAAGACUGGGAUAACUUCGUGAAACCGGAGCUAAUACCGGAUAAUAUAUUGAACCGCAUGGUUCAAUAGUGAAAGACGGUUUUGCUGUCACUUAUAGAUGGAUCCGCGCCGCAUUAGCUAGUUGGUAAGGUAACGGCUUACCAAGGCGACGAUGCGUAGCAGACCUGAGAGGGGGAUCGGCCACACUGGAACUGAGACACGGUCCAGACUCCUACGGGAGGCAGCAGUAGGGAAUCUUCCGCAAUGGGAGAAAGCCUGACGGAGCAACGCCGCGUGAGUGAUGAAGGUCUUCGGAUCGUAAAACUCUGUUAUUAGGGAAGAACAAAUGUGUAAGUAACUAUGCACGUCUUGACGGUACCUAAUCAGAAAGCAACGGCUAACUACGUG